CUCCCUUUAGCUCAGUUGGUAGAGUGCCUUGUUUGGAACGAGGAUGUCGUAGGUUCGAGUCCUACAGGGGUGACCA
rnacentral:tRNA from 1 species